AUUGAACGCUGGCGGCGUGCUUUACACAUGCAAGUCGAACGGCAGCAUAGGUGCUUGCACCUGAUGGCGAGUGGCGAACGGGUGAGUAAUACAUCGAGACAUACCUAAUAGUGGGGGAUAACUGAUCGAAAGAAUUGGCUAAUACCGCAUAAUCUCUGAGGAGGAAAGCUGGGGACGGGAAGCCGCCUGGCGCUAGUAGAGUGGUCGAUGGAUGAUUAGCUAGUUGGUGAGGUAAAGGCUCACCAAGGCGAAGAUCAAUAGCUGGUUCUGAGAGGAAGAUCAGCCACACUGGGACUGAGACACGGCCCAGACUCCUACGGGAGGCAGCAGUGGGGAAUUUUGGACAAUGGGGGCAACCCUGAUCCAGCAACGCCGCGUGAAUGAAGAAGGCCUUAGGGUUGUAAAGUUCUUUUGUCUGGGGACAAGAGCCACUGGGUAAUAUACAGUGGAGAUGAGGGUACCA
rnacentral:rRNA from 1 species